AGCGAACGCUGGCGGCAGGCCUAACACAUGCAAGUCGAACGAACCUUUCGGGGUUAGUGGCGGACGGGUGAGUAACACGUGGGAACGUGCCUUUAGGUUCGGAAUAACUCAGGGAAACUUGUGCUAAUACCGAAUGUGCCCUUCGGGGGAAAGAUUUAUCGCCUUUAGAGCGGCCCGCGACUGAUUAGCUAGUUGGUUGAGGUAAUGGCUCACCAAGGCGACGAUCAGUAGCUGGUCUGAGAGGAUGAUCAGCCACAUUGGGACUGAGACACGGCCCAAACUCCUACGGGAGGCAGCAGUGGGGAAUCUUGCGCAAUGGGCGAAAGCCUGACGCAGCCAUGCCGCGUGAAUGAUGAAGGUCUUAGGAUUGUAAAAUUCUUUCACCGGGGACGAUAAUGACGGUACCCGGAGAAGAAGCCCCGGCUAACUUCGUG
rnacentral:rRNA from 1 species